GAGCCAGAUAUGUGAGGGUGUUUCCUGUU
rnacentral:piRNA from 1 species